rnacentral:rRNA from 1 species
GACGAACGCUGGCGGCGUGCUUAACACAUGCAAGUCGAGCGGUAAGGCCCUUCGGGGUACACGAGCGGCGAACGGGUGAGUAACACGUGAGCAACCUGCCCCUGACUCUGGGAUAAGCGGUGGAAACGCCGUCUAAUACCGGAUACGACCCUUCGGCUCAUGCCGUUGGGUGGAAAGUUUUUUCGGUCAGGGAUGGGCUCGCGGCCUAUCAGCUUGUUGGUGGGGUAACGGCCUACCAAGGCGAUUACGGGUAGCCGGCCUGAGAGGGCGACCGGCCACACUGGGACUGAGACACGGCCCAGACUCCUGCGGGAGGCAGCAGUGGGGAAUAUUGCGCAAUGGGCGAAAGCCUGACGCAGCGACGCCGCGUGGGGGAUGACGGCCUUCGGGUUGUAAACCUCUUUUACCACCAACGCAGGCUCCGGGUUCUCUCGGGGUUGACGGUAGGUGGGGAAUAAGGACCGGCUAACUACGUGCCAGCCGCCGCCGUAAGAC